rnacentral:rRNA from 1 species
UACGGAGGGUGCGAGCGUUGUCCGGAAUCACUGGGCGUAAAGGGCGCGUAGGCGGCCUGAUAAGUAGGGGGUGAAAUCCUGCGGCUUAACCGCAGGGCUGCCUUCUAAACUGUCAGGCUCGAGCACAGUAGAGGCAGGUGGAAUUCCCGGUGUAGCGGUGGAAUGCGUAGAGAUCGGGAAGAACACCAGGGGCGAAGGCGGCUGCCUGGCCCUGACCUGACGCUGAGGCGCGAGAGCGUGGGGAGCAAACGGG